rnacentral:rRNA from 1 species
CCCUUAGAUGUCCUGGGCCGCACGCGCGCUACACUGAUGCAUGCAACGAGUUUAUAACCUUGGCCUGAAAGGUCUGGGUAGUCUUUUGAACGUGCAUCGUGAUAGGGAUAGAUUAUUGCAAUUGUUAAUCUUGAACGAGGAAUUCCUAGUAAACGCGAGUCAUCAGCUCGCAUUGAUUACGUCCCUGCCCUUUGUACACACCGCCCGUCGCACCUACCGAUUGAAUGGUUCGGUGAAGAUCUCGGACUUCGAUAUUUAUUCUUUAUUGAGUUUAUAUUGUGGGAAGUUAUCUAAACCUCAUCAUUUAGAGGAAGGUGAAGUCGUAACA